GGGUUGUGAGGUUAAGCGACUAAGCGUACACGGUGGAUGCCCUGGCAGUCAGAGGCGAUGAAGGACGUGCUAAUCUGCGAUAAGCGUCGGUAAGGUGAUAUGAACCGUUAUAACCGGCGAUUUCCGAAUGGGGAAACCCAGUGUGAUUCGUCACACUAUCAUUAACUGAAUCCAUAGGUUAAUGAGGCGAACCGGGGGAACUGAAACAUCUAAGUACCCCGAGGAAAAGAAAUCAACCGAGAUUCCCCCAGUAGCGGCGAGCGAACGGGGAGCAGCCCAGAGCCUGAAUCAGUGUGUGUGUUAGUGGAAGCGUCUGGAAAGGCGCGCGAUACAGGGUGACAGCCCCGUACACAAAAAUGCACAUACUGUGAGCUCGAUGAGUAGGGCGGGACACGUGGUAUCCUGUCUGAAUAUGGGGGGACCAUCCUCCAAGGCUAAAUACUCCUGACUGACCGAUAGUGAACCAGUACCGUGAGGGAAAGGCGAAAAGAACCCCGGCGAGGGGAGUGAAAAAGAACCUGAAACCGUGUACGUACAAGCAGUGGGAGCACAGAGCAAUCUGUGUGACUGCGUACCUUUUGUAUAAUGGGUCAGCGACUUAUAUUCUGUAGCAAGGUUAACCGAAUAGGGGAGCCGAAGGGAAACCGAGUCUUAACUGGGCGUUAAGUUGCAGGGUAUAGACCCGAAACCCGGUGAUCUAGCCAUGGGCAGGUUGAAGGUUGGGUAACACUAACUGGAGGACCGAACCGACUAAUGUUGAAAAAUUAGCGGAUGACUUGUGGCUGGGGGUGAAAGGCCAAUCAAACCGGGAGAUAGCUGGUUCUCCCCGAAAGCUAUUUAGGUAGCGCCUCGUGAAUUCAUCUCCGGGGGUAGAGCACUGUUUCGGCAAGGGGGUCAUCCCGACUUACCAACCCGAUGCAAACUGCGAAUACCGGAGAAUGUUAUCACGGGAGACACACGGCGGGUGCUAACGUCCGUCGUGAAGAGGGAAACAACCCAGACCGCCAGCUAAGGUCCCAAAGUCAUGGUUAAGUGGGAAACGAUGUGGGAAGGCCCAGACAGCCAGGAUGUUGGCUUAGAAGCAGCCAUCAUUUAAAGAAAGCGUAAUAGCUCACUGGUCGAGUCGGCCUGCGCGGAAGAUGUAACGGGGCUAAACCAUGCACCGAAGCUGCGGCAGCGACGCUUAUGCGUUGUUGGGUAGGGGAGCGUUCUGUAAGCCUGCGAAGGUGUGCUGUGAGGCAUGCUGGAGGUAUCAGAAGUGCGAAUGCUGACAUAAGUAACGAUAAAGCGGGUGAAAAGCCCGCUCGCCGGAAGACCAAGGGUUCCUGUCCAACGUUAAUCGGGGCAGGGUGAGUCGACCCCUAAGGCGAGGCCGAAAGGCGUAGUCGAUGGGAAACAGGUUAAUAUUCCUGUACUUGGUGUUACUGCGAAGGGGGGACGGAGAAGGCUAUGUUGGCCGGGCGACGGUUGUCCCGGUUUAAGCGUGUAGGCUGGUUUUCCAGGCAAAUCCGGAAAAUCAAGGCUGAGGCGUGAUGACGAGGCACUACGGUGCUGAAGCAACAAAUGCCCUGCUUCCAGGAAAAGCCUCUAAGCAUCAGGUAACAUCAAAUCGUACCCCAAACCGACACAGGUGGUCAGGUAGAGAAUACCAAGGCGCUUGAGAGAACUCGGGUGAAGGAACUAGGCAAAAUGGUGCCGUAACUUCGGGAGAAGGCACGCUGAUAUGUAGGUGAAGUCCCUCGCGGAUGGAGCUGAAAUCAGUCGAAGAUACCAGCUGGCUGCAACUGUUUAUUAAAAACACAGCACUGUGCAAACACGAAAGUGGACGUAUACGGUGUGACGCCUGCCCGGUGCCGGAAGGUUAAUUGAUGGGGUCAGCGCAAGCGAAGCUCUUGAUCGAAGCCCCGGUAAACGGCGGCCGUAACUAUAACGGUCCUAAGGUAGCGAAAUUCCUUGUCGGGUAAGUUCCGACCUGCACGAAUGGCGUAAUGAUGGCCAGGCUGUCUCCACCCGAGACUCAGUGAAAUUGAACUCGCUGUGAAGAUGCAGUGUACCCGCGGCAAGACGGAAAGACCCCGUGAACCUUUACUAUAGCUUGACACUGAACAUUGAGCCUUGAUGUGUAGGAUAGGUGGGAGGCUUUGAAGUGUGGACGCCAGUCUGCAUGGAGCCGACCUUGAAAUACCACCCUUUAAUGUUUGAUGUUCUAACGUUGACCCGUAAUCCGGGUUGCGGACAGUGUCUGGUGGGUAGUUUGACUGGGGCGGUCUCCUCCUAAAGAGUAACGGAGGAGCACGAAGGUUGGCUAAUCCUGGUCGGACAUCAGGAGGUUAGUGCAAUGGCAUAAGCCAGCUUGACUGCGAGCGUGACGGCGCGAGCAGGUGCGAAAGCAGGUCAUAGUGAUCCGGUGGUUCUGAAUGGAAGGGCCAUCGCUCAACGGAUAAAAGGUACUCCGGGGAUAACAGGCUGAUACCGCCCAAGAGUUCAUAUCGACGGCGGUGUUUGGCACCUCGAUGUCGGCUCAUCACAUCCUGGGGCUGAAGUAGGUCCCAAGGGUAUGGCUGUUCGCCAUUUAAAGUGGUACGCGAGCUGGGUUUAGAACGUCGUGAGACAGUUCGGUCCCUAUCUGCCGUGGGCGCUGGAGAAUUGAGGGGGGCUGCUCCUAGUACGAGAGGACCGGAGUGGACGCAUCACUGGUGUUCGGGUUGUCAUGCCAAUGGCACUGCCCGGUAGCUAAAUGCGGAAGAGAUAAGUGCUGAAAGCAUCUAAGCACGAAACUUGCCCCGAGAUGAGUUCUCCCUGACUCCUUGAGAGUCCUGAAGGAACGUUGAAGACGACGACGUUGAUAGGCCGGGUGUGUAAGCGCAGCGAUGCGUUGAGCUAACCGGUACUAAUGAACCGUGAGGCUUAACCUUACAACGCCGAAGGUGUUU
rnacentral:rRNA from 1 species